AUUGAACGCUGGCGGUAUGCUUUACACAUGCAAGUCGAACGGCAGCACGGGGGCAACCCUGGUUGCGAGUGGCGAACGGGUGGGUAAUACAUCGGAACGUGCCCGGUCGUGGGGGAUAACGUAGCGAAAGUUACGCUAAUACCGCAUACGAUCUGAGGAUGAAAGCGGGGGACCUUCGGGCCUUGCGCGAUCGGAGCGGCCGAUGUCCGAUUAGCUAGUUGGUGGGGUAAAGGCCUACCAAGCCGACGAUCUGUAGCUGGUCUGAGAGGACGACCAGCCACACUGGAACUGAGACACGGCCCAGACUCCUACGGGAGGCAGCAGUGGGGAAUAUUGGACAAUGGGCGCAAGCCUGAUCCAGCCAUUCCGCGUGCAGGACGAAGGCCUUCGGGUUGUAAACUGCUUUUGUAUGGAACGAAAAGGCUCUGGCUAAUACCUGGGGGUCAUGACGGUACCGAAAGAAUAAGCACCGGCUAACUACGUG
rnacentral:rRNA from 1 species